rnacentral:rRNA from 1 species
UACGUAGGGUGCAAGCGUUAAUCGGAAUUACUGGGCGUAAAGCGUGCGCAGGCGGUUGUGCAAGACCGAUGUGAAAUCCCCGGGCUCAACCCGGGAAGUGCACUCGAUACUGCGUAGCUUGAGUCUCGGAGAGGUUGGUGGAAUUCUCGGUGUAGAGGUGAAAUUCGUAGAUAUCGAGAGGAACACCGGUGGCGAAGGCGGCCAACUGGACGAAGACUGACGCUGAGACACGAAAGCGUGGGGAGCAAACAGG